rnacentral:rRNA from 1 species
UACGUAGGCAGCAAGCGUUGUUCGGAGUUACUGGGCGUAAAGGGUGUGUAGGCGGUCUACUAAGUCUGGUGUGAAAUCUCCCGGCUCAACUGGGAGGGUGCGCCGGAAACUAGAAGGCUAGAGUGCGGGAUGGGAGAGUGGAAUUCCUGGUGUAGCGGUGAAAUGCGUAGAUAUCAGGAGGAACACCUGUGGUGUAGACGGCUCUCUGGACCGCAACUGACGCUGAGACACGAAAGCGUGGGUAGCAAACAGG